AUAAAAGGGACUCUUCUACCAUAGAGCACCAUCAGUUGGAAUCUUCAGCGCUACUGACAAGAUGUUUGUUAAACUCAUAAUGAUCGCCUUCGUGGCUUUGGUCCUUCUAGCCACGACAGAAGCCCAUCCAGGAUUCUUUGGAGGCUUUGGCUAUGGGGGAGGCUAUGGAGGAGGUUAUGGAGGAGGCUAUGGAGGAGGUGGUGGAGGAGGCGGAGGUGGUUAUGGAGGAGGAGAUGGUUCCCGACCUCCAUUCGUUCCAGUCUUGGGUUAGAGAAUACAGAAGGGUAACCCCCUAUCACUUCGUUAAUGGACUCUGAUCACAUCAGAAGCAAAUAAGCUUAGAUCUUUCCAAACCGUGGUCCAAAAUUGAUGUCAUCAUCCAAGAACUACCAGGGGGAGAAGGGUACUAAAUAAAAGUCGACAAGAAUAAAACUUUCGUCAUUA